UACGGGGGGGGCAAGCGUUGUUCGGAAUUACUGGGCGUAAAGGGCGCGUAGGCGGUUCGAUAAGUCAGCUGUGAAAACCAUGGGCUUAACUCAUGGCCUGCAGUUGAGACUGUCGGGCUGGAGUGUGGGAGAGGAGAGUGGAAUUCCUGGUGUAGCGGUGAAAUGCGUAGAUAUCAGGAGGAACACCGGUGGCGAAGGCGGCUCUCUGGACCACAACUGACGCUGAGGCGCGAAAGCUAGGGGGAGCAAACAGG
rnacentral:rRNA from 1 species